AUGUGUGAUCCUGGCUCAGAUUGAACGCUGGCGGCAUGCCUUACACAUGCAAGUCGAACGGCAGCACGGGGGCAACCCUGGUGGCGAGUGGCGAACGGGUGAGUAAUACAUCGGAACGUGUCCUGUAGUGGGGGAUAGCCCGGCGAAAGCCGGAUUAAUACCGCAUACGAUCUACGGAAGAAAGCGGGGGAUCGCAAGACCUCGCGCUAUAGGGGCGGCCGAUGGCAGAUUAGCUAGUUGGUGGGGUAAAGGCCUACCAAGGCGACGAUCUGUAGCUGGUCUGAGAGGACGACCAGCCACACUGGGACUGAGACACGGCCCAGACUCCUACGGGAGGCAGCAGUGGGGAAUUUUGGACAAUGGGGGAAACCCUGAUCCAGCAAUGCCGCGUGUGUGAAGAAGGCCUUCGGGUUGUAAAGCACUUUUGUCCGGAAAGAAAACUUCUGCCCUAAUACGGCGGGAGGAUGACGGUACCGGAAGAAUAAGCACCGGCU
rnacentral:rRNA from 1 species